rnacentral:rRNA from 1 species
UACGUAGGGGGCUAGCGUUGUCCGGAUUUAUUGGGCGUAAAGAGCGUGUAGGCGGCCAGGUAGGUCUGCUGUGAAAACUCGAGGCUCAACCUCGAGACGUCGGCGGAAACCAUCUGGCUAGAGUCCGGAAGAGGAGAGUGGAAUUCCUCGUGUAGCAGUGAAAUGCGUAGAUAUCGAGAGGAACACCAGUGGCGAAGGCGAGUCCCUGGACACUUCCUGACACUGAGGCACGAAAAGCUAGGGGAGCAAACAGG